AGACCCGGCCAGAUUGAACAUUUACAGCACACACAGCUGAUGAGCUUUUAUUACAGAUUUGGCAAAGUGAGUACCGGACAGAGAACAGGAAAGGAACUGCUGAGACCAGGCUCACAACUGGGGGGAGGGUACACAGCUCCCCAUAACACGAACAGGACAAGGUGGGCAAGGACACCCCGACACCCUCUUCUGUGGGCCUUAGGAAGGUUAGCCGUUGAGUCUUCCUGCACUCAGGCUUAGCGGGGAAUCAACACGGAGAGGGAGGCCCUUGGGGGGCUGGUCAACCACAGAGAUGCCGAGGUGCACGCCCACAGUGGGAAUGGAGCCGUUUACAGAGUGCCCAUAGGCCACUCAUCCGGGAUGUCCCUGGUCACCAGACGUGUGCUCAAGGAAGGCAAGUACAGUUCAACACAGGACUCGGCCCAGCGUUGUUGAAGACCCCAACGGGUGUGGGGGGGUGGGCGGGAGGACAGGCAGUAGGUUUAGAGGUUGAGGCCAGGGCAGCAGUCGCCCUGGGGGGUCGUGCUAAAUGCAGGAUGGGAUUCAAGGGGGCUCCUGAUGAUGCCAGUGCUGUCUGCGUCCUGCCCACCACACAAGGAUCCAGACCAGGGGGUAAAACCUUGGCUGCAGAGUGCUCUGGGGAGCCUUUAAAUUUCCCAGAGACCCGGCUGCACUCAGAAAUCUUCGCUAACGGGAGGAUCUAGGCAUCAUCAGGAUUUUUAAAGCCCCCCACUCUCCCUGGGCACUUCCAGUGUAGAUGACAACCAGAGACAGGAGGAGCAGGGGGAGGGGAUGUCGGGGUAGUCACGAAGGCAUAAUCUCUGUAAUUAGUUUGAUACCUGGAAGUUAAAAUCAAUCAAUGCUGUUCAUAAAAAAACAUAGAAAGUAAAGCUUGAUUAAAAUCUC